GGGCUCGUGUGAGGACCCCUCCGUAGCGUUUGGUGUGAGAGAAAUUAGACGAUGGACACGAACUCUGCAGCAGGCUGUGGCCGCUACGAGGCCUCAUCCGUGAUGAAGAGCCUCGCUUUCCCGGAUGCGGAAUAAUUUCAGGAAGCCAGGAGAACCUUCCUCCACCCCUGCAAUCCUGGGAGGCUUUGGAGAUGAGGAGACUGAAGCCUGGGGGGACGUCGCCGGGCACACGUGUCGUGACGGCAGAGCCAGGGCUGGCACGACCGGCACCCUGCCGCGACCUCGGUGGGGGACACGAGGCCCCGCCCAGGAGCUGACGUGGUCUGAAGCGCUUUGGGAGCUGCUUCUGUGGGCCUCACCUGAGCCGCCUCUGUUGCUGAGAGCUUUAAGUUUAGAGUCCAGAUGACUCAGGAGAGAUGUCCCAGCACCUGAUUGGCUGGGGGCAGGUCACAGGAUGGCAGCGGAGCGGAGAGGACAGGAGAGGGGAACCCACGAGCCGUGCCGUGACCUCCGUAGGUGAACGCACACCUGUGGAGGGGCCCGGGCGCUGGCCCAGCCCUGCCCCUGGCAGCCACACCAGUCCCGGAGGCGGCAGCAAGGCCGACACGCCGGGCCGGUGGAGCCGGCCCCACAGCCAUGGGGCCACCGUGAAGGUCCGAUCCCUGCCCUCCCGCAGCCCA